rnacentral:lncRNA from 1 species
UUGGAAUUUUCUCCAUGAAGAAAGGUUUUGGUGAGGUGGGUUGGUUUCCAAGAGGCACCAAAGGAAAUACGUUAUGUUAUUGUCAAUGCCCACAACAAGAAACACAACGAGAUGCAAGGUUGUGUGAUCGUCCAUUUCCAUAAAAAAAGCUACAAUGUUGUGGGUUGUCAAUUCAAAUGAACAAAGCUACAAAGUUCGAUUAAAAGCUAUCAUCCAAUCACAUAAUGUAGCAUAUGCAUGUGCCGUAACU